AGCUGUGCAACAAGUGAUGGUGCAAGAACGGAAUAAUUGGAGACCAGCCCUGUGGAACAACGUAGAGAAGUUGUAAUUUGAUGCUUAAUUGUCUACCUCUUGGAAAAUCCUGAGAAUCUCAUCAAGCAUUAUCAGGAUACUCAUGGGAACAAGGAGGAACUGGAACAGCUCACACUGAAGACCAUCUCAAAAGGUGGCUCAACAGAUGAUCCAUUACAGACUGGGAUAGUACUGGAAGGCAUAGAGGUGAUGGCGGGAUUGGCAGGUGUUGCGAAGGCUUGUGUUUUUCUGCUUGGCCUAAUUUAUGCAAUUAAUCUGAGUUACCCCAAAGAGCUCAGGUACUUGUUUGAAUUUUUUCAGAAGAUUCUACUGGAACUAGACAGUGGCAAACUUUCUCCAAAGGUUUACUCUCUGAAGAACAGGCUUCUUUGUUAAAAUGAAAGAUAUUGAUUGUGUUGUUCUGACCAUUAUGCCUUGAAAUAUGUUUGUCACAAGACACGUUUAGCCAUACGCAUCUGGUUCUAGUACAAUGUUAGUCUGCAAACGUUUGAUCGCAGUCUUGUUUUAUUCUUAGGAUGUUUGUUGCGUGUUCCAAAAGUAGAUGUUAGAAAAUUGUGAAUAUAUUAAGAAGUGUUGCAAAGGGUGAAAAUAAAAAAUCAAG